GGCAGGUACUGGCUCGCGUGACGCGGUGCAGAGGGGGUGGGGGAGGCUCAUAGUGCAGAGCUGUCUGCCUGGGACGUACGCACACCGCACAGAACUCUCCAAAAUAAAUAGGAGCCCCGCAAGUUUGACACUAAAGCAGACCCACAGCCUUGUUCUGUCAGUGUAUCUGAACCUGCUACUCCACUGUUUUAAAUCCAGGAGCAUGAGGAUCUUUAAAUUCGCAGAUGACACCACAGUAGUGGAUCUGAUCUCCAACAACGUUGAAACAGCUUACAGGAGUGAUGAGAGAGAAUCCCUGAGAGAUCCCUGGUGGACUGUGGGACCACCUUCCCUUGGCCAUCAAGUGAAAUUCAACAAGUGGACAGCUACAAAUUCCUGGGAGUGACAAUCUGCUCCACCCUGAAAUGGGGUAUAACACCACUACUAUUGUGAAGAAAGAACCUGAGAGACAGCUGAGAGACAACUGAAACAAAUUGGUAUAUCUAGUGAUGAUAUGGUACAGUUUAAUAGAGGAGGGGGAGAGCAAAUCAUUUGUGCAAUAGGGCAGAUGGUUUGAAGCACUUUAUCUGGUGGGUCGUUUGAUGUUGCCAGUAAUUUCCCUACGUGCUUAUUUAUAGUGUUUAUAUAUGUUGGAUUUUACGUUACCCAUUGUUUUAUGCUUUUAUGAUUAUUGUAUGGGUUGGAUAUUAUCAAUCUGUUUUAUACUGAAUGUAUUGUGUGCUUCGUGGUUUUACUAUUUAUUUUUAUAUUUUGUUGUUUCUUCUUUGUUUAGGUCAGCUGAGCUCUCUAAAACAAAUUCAAACCAGCCAUGUUGAUCUGGCAAUGAAGGAUUGAAACUUGGGAUGGGAUAUAAGAUAUGCCUAAACUCA